CGGGCGCGGUGGGCACACGGUGCCCAGGCCGCACAUCGGCUGCAUCCUUUUGUUUCAGAUGCAUCCCCUCGCUCCGGUGGGAGAGCAGAGGGAGAGCACCCACUCCGCGAGCAACACAGCUCGGCGCAGGGCUCAGCCGUUGUUCUGCAGCCGCUCCUGGGGCUGCCCAGUGGGGCACUCCGUGCUGGCAGCGCUCACUGACCUCCUCCUGGACAUCGCACCUCAGUGUCCCCCCAUCCCCAGCCCGCUCUGUGCCCCCAGCCCUUGAUGGCUAUGAGGGGGAUUUUGAUGCAAUCAGCCCAGCCGUAGGGCCUUCACCACUGCCAAGGAUGGGAACUGCCACAUCCCUGCUUAUGGCUUGUUGGUGCCCAUGUCCAAUUGUGAUGUGCGUCAACCACGGCGCUGCUGGGAGGAGAAGGUCAGGGAGCGCUGUGCUGAGCCCUGUGGAGCGGGGGGGUGAAUGGGCACCGUGGGCACUGCACGGCCGACCCUUCCCCAUCUCAAGCUGAAGGGCAGCAGUGCAGCCCCGGGGUCCCUGCGGUGGGAGGGCAGCGGCUGCGCUCGCUUCCAGCUCAAUGGCUGCCGCUCCUCCCUGAAGCUAAAAUAAAAUCCUGACCAUUUAAGGUGAACAGGAGACUUGCCGUGGACCUCGGAAGGGUUUUAACCCCUUCCCAUUGCUGGGCUUUGUUUAUUCCUCGCGCUCCCUUCGCUUCGAGCUAGACCACGCGGCAGAGCCAGCCCCCUGCACUGGGCACACAGCAGCGAGGGCGCGAGCCUGACGCGGCCGCCGUGUUGCCUCACCAUGUGGACACUUAUUUUAUACUAAGUGCCUUUGUGUGGGCUAGGUUAAUCCACUUUGGAAAUGGAUUAACCUAAAUUUUGCAUCGGCAAACUUAGCGUGGAACAGACGCAUCCACUCGGGAAGCGAGGGUGGAGGAGCGGGCAGGGCUGCAGGCAGGAACCCUUCCAGUGCCGGCUGCAGGACCUGACCCCAGUGGGGUCACCGCCGCACAAGCGGGGUCACGAGCCCGACAGAAAUGCCAUUGUUUGUGGCAGCGCCUGGGGCCGCCAGGCCGGCACGGCGAGGCUGGGCACAGAAAUGGGGCUCCUGUGGGAGGGACAGCUCUGCAAAGCUGCAACCGGAGCACCCUUUUGGUGGGGAUCCUUCAGGUUCGAACCACGGAGGGGGAAAUAACUGGCAAUUAGGUAGAGGAUCGGUAAUGAUAAUUUAUCAAGUUGUCAGGAAUAGGGUAAGUGCCUUACGGGACUGUGUUUAAAAAAAAUCCCAACAUAAUAAACCAGUACUGCUGCUAUUAUAUUAUAUAUAAAACACAUCAAAUAUAUUAUUUAUAAGACGCUUCCUUCCCUCUCGGCACGUUCGUUACCUCUGAACCCUGCAAACCCUUCCCUGUGGGCGCACACAUCCCUGCGGCUCCCCGCCUGCCUGCCCACGCAGAACCAAGCCCUGCCUCCUGCACACCCAGAGCCACGCCAUGAGGGGCUGCUGGCAGCACCCAGCCUCGUCCUCCAGUGCUUCCCAAGGCACGGCCACACAGGCAGCACUGGGGCUGCUCUCAGACUCAGGGGUACACUGCCUGUAGGAACGCCGCUGGGUGAGUGUGGACACAGAGAUCUGGAGGGGACUGUGUGAAGUGGGAUCUGGCUCUCAUGCUGAAGGAGCCACUGACUCGGGGGUGACUUUGUGCCUCUGGAAGUGGGUUAAACAACAAAUGGCACCUCCUGCAUCUGUUGCUCCGUGACCACCAAACCCUACUGGGUGAUGAGCAUUAAAAAUGCAAAGCUUUGCCAAGUGAUGCCUGUAAGGAAAGCAGGACAAACAGAGGCAGGGCCACAGCCCCAUGGCAUGAAGGGAGGUGUGACUUCUGCCUGCACCGUGUUUUAGUUACGUGGCAUCCAGAGCAGAGUCAGGAAGAAAUGGAGAGAAGAGGCUUGGGAAGCUUUGUUACAGAGCACAUCUGCGUGGGCUGAGGGCCGUGUUCCCCUUUCUCUUGGUCACUCCUUCUGCAGAAGCAACAGCUGCUGGCAUUUGGCAUAUGCACAAAUAGAAGUGCUUUUUUUUUCCUUCUUCAAGGGCGAAGGCCAAGAGAUGGAAGGGAAAUAUAGCACACGUCAGGGUGCACCAGUCCCAGCAAAGCAGCAGGAAAGAGCUGCUUCUGCGGGUGGAAUGUGCCUUCCCUGGGAGCUCAGGGGAGGGCUGGAUGCCAGUACCAGGGAUUCAGAUCCCAUCCACACACAGGGAUCCAUAUCCCAUCCACACGCAGGAUGCAUAUCCCAUCCACACACAGGAUCCAUAUCCCAUCCCUGCACAGGAUCCAUAUCCCACCCCUCCCAGCUUCUGCUGGAGCACCACCCCUCAGCAGCUCUGCACUAUGCCAUAGGUUGACACAGACUCACAGCUUUUCUCCUAGCCACCACACCAGAACUGAGCCAUUUUAACCAACGCUACACCAUAACCAACAUGAAGCCCAUCUUUUGCCAUUCUCAAGCCACACCGUGUUUCCAGCAUCCAUCUUUGUGAGUGCCAGCAUUUGCUGGGAGAUGCACGUGCCCAUUCCCAGCCCUGCAGCGAGGCACACGCCUGCCUGAGCAGGUAGAACAGGAGCAGAAACAAAAGCAACAAUGCAACUCAAGGUUACAACGCUGAACCACACAGCUUCAUUUUCGGCAGUAACGGAAAUCAUUAAUAACAGUUCACGUUCUCAAAGUAGUUGCCAUCCAAGCUCUUGAAGAGCUUUAUUAGUGCGCGAGACCUCAGAAGUCUCUCUAAGGUAUUAGCCCCUUCUUAAAGGGAGAGGGCAAUUAGGAAACAACCAUUUGUGCGCCUCGAUCAAAGUCAGCACACAGCACAUCAGUGAACGAAGGGGAGGUGAUGCAGAGAGCCCACGGCCAUGGCCUGCCCAAGGCUACAGGAGGAAUGGGCCCAUCAGGAGCCACAGUGCAUUCCCCCAAGCACCCCUCCACCAGUUUGCAGCCACCAGAUACGGGACCGCAGUGGCGCGCGGUGCCUGGUGCAGCCUGCAGCCUCAGAGGACAUGUGGUGACUGGCACUGCUGAGAUCUGGCAGUGCCACCUCAUUCAGUGCCUCCUUCCCAUAGGAAGCAAUGCAAUUUCCCUUAGCAGUGCAGAGUCAGGGCCACAGCAUCAUAUCUCAUGUGGAAGAUGCCAGCAGUAUUUAUCCCAGCCAGCCCACGCCUGGAUCUCAAAUCAUUUUGCUUGCACCGAGCAUUGCACUGAGCACAUACAAAGCUUACCAGCAACGCAGCUACAGACACUGAGGGAUCUACACAGCUGGAAAUGAAAUCUCUCCUGCUUUAACUAGCUGGGAACCUCACGGUUAAUUCCAAUCACAAAAAUGAGCUGACCCUCACUGAAAGCAAGCCAUUCAGAGAAGUCUGAAACCAGGCUAAAUGGUUUGAUCAUCUGACCUCCUGCAUCUCAUGAGCCAUUAAGGCCAAGGAUAAAAGUUUCACUAAACUGUCUUUGUCAGCUAAGAGGGUGGAGGGAAGCUGCAAAUGUGCAGAAUGGAGUUGCAGGGCUGGACCCGCUGCCGCUGCCAUGGCUGGACAGCAUGUCCUUUAGGGCAAAUGCAUCAGCCAAAGCCUUCUCUGCCAGCAGAAGCUGCAUCUCCACUAGAGGGCUUUGCUGAUGUAGAGCUACGAGUAAGCCUUUACUGCAUCAAUUAAAUCUGUAUUUCCAACAGUUAUGUCUGUACUGAACUGGGUAAUUUGCAUUUAGCGAAACAGUAUCUUCUAGAUACCUCCAGGACUACCCUUUUGUUUUGGCUAUUUCUCCAAACUGUGCCCUCAUGUUGCAGCCCCCUCCACCCCUGCAGUGCACACCGUGAGCUGGGAGCUGUGCACCAGGGUGCAGGACAAGGCCCCCUCCUUCCCUCCCUCCCUCCCAGGCACUCACAAGUCAGCGUGGCAAAGCCAUGGCAACAAGAGAAAAGCUCCUGUUAUUUCACAUCCUGCCAUUCACCGACUGGGUGACCUUCUGUCAGCAGCCACUGAAGCAACCUUUGGAAAUUUUCCGUAUCACUUAAACCUGGUUGCUGUGCCUGCCAAGGUGGCAGCCGCACCUCCAGAGCAGAGCAGGUUUGGAGCUCUGUGCAUCUCAGCCUGCCGUGUUCCACCUGGAGCUGAGCACAGGGCCCUGGCAGAAAUCACCUGAACAGUGUGGUGUGAAAAAUAAACCCAGGGAUGAGUCUGAAUAUGAUAGAAAAAGAUGGUCUGGGAAAUGACUGCAAUAAAACUCAAAUAAGCAAUCAUUUAAACAUGCUAAUAUUUAUCGUUUGAAAACGAGGUGGAAGGAUCAUUAUAGAUGAAUAUUAAAUACCUUCAUUCCUUUUUUGCUGCAAGAUUGAGAAGGUCAGAAGUUCGGGGGAUGCUUUAAUACCUCCACAGAUCCCUGAAAUAUGGCUAAUUCUGCACUAUGUGGAAAGGGAACGGGCCCUCCUGGGCCCUCUCACAUAUGAGAACUGCUAUAAAAUUGGAAAGAAGGAAGACUCACAGCCCAGGAGCUCCUGCAUGUUCCAGUGAACCCAAUUUAAACAGCGUGGGGCACUCAUGCCAGAAUAGAUGUACUGACUUGAAAUAUAUUGAUCUCUACUGAUGUGAGAAAAUAAUCUGACUCCUGUUCUCUGAACACUUCCAUACAGGAUAGUGAUUUGCUUUCUGGUUCUGUCAAUUCUGCAGGAACCCUUAACUGCAUGAACAACCCUGGGAAGAGCUCCUUAUUUUGUGGUUCUUUUUGUCCCUCGAUGCAGACAAAAUGCUCUCAGGUUCUUCUGGCAGCGUUUCCUGGUGGAGACACUGCUGCCCUGAUACUGAUAUGCUUAACAGCAGCCAUAAAUUACAGUUACAUGCACUUUUUUUUUUCCUCCUGAAUAAUGAAGUUAAAAGGCCACUUUGGCAUAAAUUCAUUCAUUGUUAGCCCCUGUGAAGCAAGCUCCUCCUGGUGCUGCUGCAUGCAAAUAAUUGCUUUUGGCAAAAGCCAAGUAGAACACAAGUCACUUGCUUCAUUUAUUUCUAUUAUUACCAUCAAAUGUUGGCGCAGUGCUGGGCAGUGAGGUGGCAGGGCAGCAAGAUGAGAUAGAGGGACGAGUGUCUUAGUGUAAAGUUGACUACACCGAAGCCAUACAGUGUGUAUUUGUGAGCAUGGUGCUCCUUCCCAGGGGUGACCAUGGGCUGUGCCUCUCGGAACCAAUGGCACCCACAUCUCCUGGGUUUUCUCCCUGGGUUCCCACCACAGUAUUCUCCUCAGACUGCUGCUAUACUCAGGUAUGAUAAAGAGCUUCAAUGCUACAUGGGUCUGAGCAGUAGGGCUGUGAUCUUUUGCCAUUUUUUCUCAGGAAUCUCUCUGGAAUUUCAGGGACACAUCUAAAGGCAAAUUUUACUUCUUCCAAACAGUUUUUUUUUUUUUCCCUCAGCUGCUGCAGCUCAAAAAGCUUAGAAAGCUGCAUUGCAACUGUAUGGGAACUGUUGAAUCACGGCCUGAACCUCUGAUUGACCACCUGAGGCGAGCGCUGAGUCAGCCACAGGGGCACAGGUGAACGUAAUUUCACCUGAGUGACCAGAAGGGGUGGAGCCUGGCUGCACCCCUCCUAGACUCCAUUUAAGGGCUGGCUCCGAAGGAGGAAGGAUCUCUAUCUGGGGAUCACUCCUCUUGGAGCCCUUCUGCAAGCCCAGGACACAGGUAAGAUCUUUAUUUCAUUACUCCUUUGUAAUGCGAUAAUCUCUCUGGUCCAAUACCUGUUUUCCAUACAGUAACAUACCACAGAGAGAGCAGCAAAAGAGGUAAGGAAAUAAAAUGAAGUACGGUGAUUUAUGGUCUAGGCCAACAUCUGUGUGUUUCCUCAGCUCGUCCUCUUUUUGUUCCUGCAGGAUAUAUGCUUGGAUUGCAAUCUUCAGGAGUGUUUUCAUGAGCAGUAUGCUGUAUCUGUCCAUCCAGUGGGAGAUCCAGUGCACACAGCAAAACACGGGAAACGCACAGGAAGUUGAGAAGCAUGUCAUGAAGUUUGCCCCGAAUGGAGAUUUGGGACCAAGAGGAAUAGUCCUAUCAGUGGAAAAGGCGUAAGUGGUAAAUACACAAAAUUCUCAGGCUGUCUUUUACAUUCACACCAAACUUAACUCGAAGGAACUGCCUUGAAUUCUGAGAAGCACAACCUGCAGUCCAUAGUGAGGAAAAGCUCAUGCUUAAUGGCAUGCAUAGCAUCAGGGUCUGCAAUCACAGCACUGCUCUGCUUUGAUUUGCACUGAGACCCAGCAACCAGAAGGAAGGGCAGCCCUCGAUUCUGCCUGAAAAAAAAAGGGUCCCACUGCCCCAUCCAGCAGCCCUGGGCUGGAGCUGUCCAAAGUUCUGCCUCCAGCUCACCCUGAGCAGCUCUGCUUGCUGCAGGCAGAACCUCCAACUUGCUCAGUGUCCAGCACAUGCAGAGGAAAAUGCUCCAAGGUGCAGCAGUGCUUCCUGCCAGAUGUCAGGUUUCAGGAAGGUUUCACUGCUGAAAUGCCAGAGGAGCUCUGUACCCACCCCUUCACUCCUGACAGCUGAUCCACAUCUGCAAUUUCACACCCUGGCACCAGAUUCGAUUCUCUACCCAGUGUCCUCUCAUGUCACCCCCAGAUAAAAAACAUCUAUUGGCACAACUUCACAGCUCAAGCUAUCAGCAGUCAUCCCCUCCUCUGCACAAUGCAAACUCUUUCAUUCCUGUGAACUGGCAGCAGCCUACAAGAUCAGAUUGAGGUUUUGGUGUGCUGGAAAGCAGACCCAGCACUGGCUCCCAGUGCCGAUUUGUGGGGAGAGAGUAGAACAUGCUUUGCUUUUUAUAGACUGUUUCCAUGGUGCACAGAGGUUCCCAUUGCUAAUUCUGCAGCUGCAGAACUCCAGAAAAUUGCAUAGCCUGGGUUUAAUUCUGUGGCAUUCUGCCCCUUCUGCUCCAAACCCAAAUGCAGUGGCCUGACACCCCUAGCAGCCAACCGAGCCCCCCUCCCAGCAUGACAUGAGGGCAGAUGGUGCUGAGCUGCACCAAGCUGCUGGCCAGAACUGCCCCACCUGCUAAAGCUCCCAGGAAAACACAGGGAGCUAAAGAGAUAAAUUCCUAUUCACCGUAUGUAUUUUUAAGAUAUUGUUCAUAAUAAGCCUCAUGCCUAAAGAACAAGCAGACUGCUAUAAUCCAUAACAGCAACACUCUCCCACUUCCAUGGGCUAGCACUGGUUGUAUGUGGUCAAAGCCCACCCCACCUGGACAAACACAUUUCCAAAAGCAUCAGCCACCCCACAGCCCCAAGGGCAGAAACCCGCCUCGUGCCUUGCACUGCCCCAUGGCAGGAGGAUAACUCACCUGCUCCUGUGAAUUCAUCACCCGCAGCUUCAUUUGCUUCAGGUAAGUAGAGGUGAGAGGCAUGUUGUAGUCGAUGAUCCCAGAAACCAGAGAGGAAGGUGGUUCGCUCUCUGAAGAACAGAGGAAAAACUUUGUAAAGAUACAGAGAUGUGUUGUCAUCAUUACCAAACAUAUGUGUUUAGAAGUACUUAAAACCCCUAACUGGAGCCACUGCCUGCUGAGCUGAGGUUCCUACAUGAACAUGACUGCACCCAGAGGAUAAUUACAGACCAGAUGUUGUUUUGCAGGAAAAAAAGCACUGCUGUCACCUGUGAAAAGACUACACACAAUAUAUAACUUUUCAGUCUACCAAACUAAAACCUAACAGAGGAAGAAAGUGAGCCUUGCUGAAGAUCUCAGAAACACUUCCAUGCCAAUGGGAUUGAUGCAGAGGGUGAUCAAGAAUAUAUUUCUAGUUUGCUUUGGCACUGCAAAGCCUCACCAGUUUUGCUGGGAUUCCCUCAGGAAAAGCUGCUGGCAAAAAGGGAAAUCUCUGUGCCUUCAUAGAGAGAUACACCAGUGCCAGAGGACAAGCCCAGCUUCCCAGCACACCCCAAAAGGCUGCGUGGCUGCCCACCAGAACAUGAGCUCCAGCAACAGCAAAGGAGGAUUUCCAGGAGCUGAAGGUGAACUGGUGGUGGGAGGUUUCCUUUCCCGUCUCAGAACCUGAGUGCCUGCCUUGCAUUUUCUGGGGUCACCAGUUUCACAGGCACCUUUGACACAGCCCCUUUUACAAACGGCCUUCACAAAAUGUUUUACAGCACCUUAGAAAAUCCAUCAGCCAGCUGUAAUGGGGCUGCUUUUCAGAAAUGCUGAAUAUUGCAAAAGCUCAAUGAAACUCAGCGGACCCGAAGACGCUUCACACCUCUGGAAAUAUCAGAUCUAUUGUGUCUGAUUAAGAAAUGACCUGACCCAAAAGCAUAUUGCCCGUAGCUGACUUAAACAUUACAGAGUUUUUGCAGAAGCCUAGUUAAGAUCCAUGGAAAUGCAGAGUUUGCUCUCCAGGUCCUGGGUACCUGCAGCAUCCUUGAUAGCUGGAUGGGUAACUGGAUGGACAUCUGAGGAACCAAAACAUUUUGGUUUUUUUAUGCUAACUGAAAAGAAAGAAAACCUUCGUUUUAGAGGGCCUGGGGGACUCCAUAGGUAUAACCCUCAUUUCCUAUGUCACAAAAGGGGCUACUGGAGUUAUUUAGCUCCUCUUUAGAAGUUACCACACCCCAAGUGUUGGAAACACAGAUGCAACAGGCAGAGCUGAAGUGAAAUGGUUUGGAUCCUAAUUCCAAGUCUGUAUAAUUCCACUGGAAUUACUCCUAAUUUAAUAACAGUGUAAAAAUGCCACAGUGAAGUCAGAGCUUCCCAGGCACAAGAUAAUUUUCUUCUAUGAAUUAUGUGAGUGCCCUGCAGGGUUCAAUGUCAGGUAUGUUUAAUUAGGGAUUUUUCUGAUCACAUAGGAAGUGUGUUGAGAUUUGCUUAAUGGACAAGUAGAAAUAGAUAGGAAUGACUCCAUUUUUUCCUUCUCACUAAGUUAAACGUUACAUACAACUGUUGGUCUGUGUGUUUGCAUGCACAUACACCCAGGCAAUUUUCCUAUGACCUCACCAUUCUGUAGGUGAUUUGCUCCAGAUGAACUGUGGAAUAUGUAGUAGUGAAAUCAGAUGCUCUUCCCCAGUAAAAGUAAUCUUACCUAAUCUACUCUA